rnacentral:rRNA from 1 species
AGAGUUUGAUCAUGGCUCAGAACGAACGCUGGCGGCAGGCUUAACACAUGCAAGUCGAACGCACCCUUCGGGGUGAGUGGCAGACGGGUGAGUAACACGUGGGAACGUGCCCUUCAGUUCGGAAUAACCCAGGGAAACUUGGGCUAAUACCGGAUACGCCCCUUGGGGGAAAGAUUGAUCGCUGAAGGAUCGGCCCGCGUCUGAUUAGCUAGUUGGUGAGGUAAGAGCUCACCAAGGCGACGAUCAGUAGCUGGUCUGAGAGGAUGAUCAGCCACACUGGGACUGAGACACGGCCCAGACUCCUACGGGAGGCAGCAGUGGGGAAUAUUGGACAAUGGGCGCAAGCCUGAUCCAGCCAUGCCGCGUGAGUGAUGAAGGCCUUAGGGUUGUAAAGCUCUUUCGGCGGGGACGAUAAUGACGGUACCCGCAGAAGAAGCCCCGGCUAACUUCGUGCCAGCAGCCGCGGUAAUACGAAGGGGGCUAGCGUUGUUCGGAAUCACUGGGCGUAAAGGGCGCGUAGGCGGCUUUAUAAGUCGGGGGUGAAAGCCUGUGGCUCAACCACAGAAUUGCCUUCGAUACUGUAUGGCUUGAGACCGGAAGAGGUAAGUGGAACUGCGAGUGUAGAGGUGAAAUUCGUAGAUAUUCGCAAGAACACCAGUGGCGAAGGCGGCUUACUGGUCCGGUUCUGACGCUGAGGCGCGAAAGCGUGGGGAGCAAACAGGAUUAGAUACCCUAGUAGUCC